CCUGUGAUUUUUGUGCUUGAUGGCUAGUUUGAUAAGGUGAGUGUAUCUUGUGAGUUGUUGCUGAUCAUCAUCGUCGAGGCUUUGUAAUGAGCGAAGAUAAAGAUUCGGGUGGUUGAAAACAGUGUGUAGUGAGGCGGAGAGCCACCGAAUGACACACGAAUGGAGGGCCACGAAGCUGGUUUUCGAGGUUCAGAUGAGAAAAUAUUUUGGACAAGAUGAAGGGAUCCAGGUCGUUCCAUUGGGGAUUCGUUGGUUUCUUCAUCUGGGUGUUUUUUGAUUUUUGGUGUUCUUGGGUGG
rnacentral:lncRNA from 1 species